AUCAUUACAAUUAGAUAAUGCUAGCUACUAUACGAGGAUUGCAAAAAGAUUUUUCGAUGAGGAAUUAAAUUAAGAUUCGACUAGAAUUUUUUUGGAGUACAUACAUAAUACAAGUUCAAUUGGGCCUGCCACUGUCAUUAUCUAUAGUCAUGUAUAACGAUUCUCUUUCCUUAUACAUAAUGUGAAAUUAAAAUUGGAAGAAGAAAAUGACUAGAGGAAAUAGAGAUUUCAAUUGCUCAAAGUCAUCAAGCCACACAUUACCCAUCAACACACUAUUGUUUUUUUCUUCUUUUAAAUCGGCAAAUAUUAUUGAAAUCAAUUCUCUGCAAAGACGCAUAGAGGCGGUAAACAAACUACAAAGAUGCCGCAUAUAGACGUAACAUCCACACAAUAAAACACCAGAAAAACACUAAAAGCAAAACGGCGAAACUCCAAAUAGAGAAAACAGCCAAGAGACAAAAGUUAUGACACUAAAAUAUAAUUAACGCCACCAGAUUUCAGUUCCAUACACUAGUGGUUGUUAGACUUGACAAUUCAAAUUUCAAUGUAGAUUUUG
rnacentral:lncRNA from 1 species